ensembl:ncRNA F14B8.13 ncRNA
CGGAUGUAUUUAUUGUGCCUGCACAGAACUCGUGUCGAUAUUAUUUACAAUAUCGGGCUCAUUGUUCUUAAUGCGAUGGACAAUCAAAACGCCCCGAAUUCCUAUUCAACCCACGGAUUGACCUGUGUGCGUUUGACAUGAAACU